GGGCGGUUAGCUCAGGGGGAGAGCGCUUCCUUGACACGGAAGAGGUCAGAGGUUCAAAUCCUCUACCGCCCACCA
rnacentral:tRNA from 1 species